rnacentral:ncRNA from 1 species
UUUAAAGAUUAAAGUAAUUUAUAUUUAGAAUACUUUUUUAUUAUUAAUAAAAUUUGUGCCAGCAAUUGCGGUUAAACAAAAAAUUUUAUUUUUUUUUAUUAAAAAAAAUAUAUAUAUGUAUAUAUAUAUAUAUAUAUAUAUAUAAAAAGAUAUAUAUAUAUAUAUAUAUAUAUAUAUAUAUAUAUAUUCAUAUAUUUAAAUAUUAUAAAAUUAUAAAUAUUAAUUAUAUAUUUAUAGUUAAGUAUUUUUAGUGAAAUAAUAAUUUUUAUAAAAUUUAUAUAUUAUAUUAAAUGAAAAUUUAAAAUUAAUUAAAUAAACUAGGAUUAGAUACCCUAUUAUAAUUAAUUUUAAUAUUAAUAAAUUAAAUAAUUAAUUGUUAAAUCAUUAAAAUUAAAAAAUAUUGACGGUAUUUUUAUUUAUUCAGAGGAACUUAUUUUAUAAUUGAUAAUACACGAUAAGAUAAACUUAAAUUUUAAAUUUAUAUAUUGUUGUUUUUAAAAAAUUUUAAUAAAAAUAUUUUUGUAAUUUAAAUUUAAUAAAAUAUUUCAAAUCAAAAUGUAGUUUUAUUUAAGGAAAAAUGAGUUACAAUAAAAAUUAAUUAUGGAUUAUUUAAUUUAAAUUAAAUAUGAAAUUGGAUUUGAAAGUAAAUUUAAAAUAAUUAUUUAAAUUGAUUUUAAUUUAAAAAUAUGUACAUAUUGCCCGUCAUUUUCAAUUAAAUUGAAACAAGUCGUAACAAAGUAAAUUUACUGGAAAGUAAAUUUAGAAUUU